UACGAAGGGGGCUAGCGUUGCUCGGAAUCACUGGGCGUAAAGGGUGCGUAGGCGGGUCUUUAAGUCAGGGGUGAAAUCCUGGAGCUCAACUCCAGAACUGCCUUUGAUACUGAAGAUCUUGAGUUCGGGAGAGGUGAGUGGAACUGCGAGUGUAGAGGUGAAAUUCGUAGAUAUCGGGAGGAACACCUGAGGCGAAGGCGGGCUACUGGGCCGAUACUGACGCUGAGGCGCGAAAGCCAGGGGAGCAAACGGG
rnacentral:rRNA from 1 species